UACGAAGGGUGCAAACGUUGCUCGGAAUUAUUGGGCGUAAAGCGCACGUAGGCGGCAUUGCAAGUCCCAUGUGAAAGCCCACGGCUUAACCGUGGAAGUGCAUGGGAAACUGCAGUGCUUGAGUACUUAAGAGGAUCGCGGAAUUCCCGGUGUAGAGGUGAAAUUCGUAGAUAUCGGGAGGAACACCAGUGGCGAAGGCGGCGAUCUGGGAAGAUACUGACGCUGAGGUGCGAAAGCGUGGGGAGCGAACAGG
rnacentral:rRNA from 1 species